rnacentral:rRNA from 1 species
AUAUUGCGCAAUGGCCGCAAGGCUGACGCAGCGACGCCGCGUGGAGGAUGAAGCCCCUCGGGGUGUAAACUCCUGUUGCUCGGGACGAACCAUGGGUUUCGACCCAUCUGACGGUACCGAGUGAGGAAGCUCCGGCUAACUCCGUGCCAGCAGCCGCGGUAAUACGGAGGGAGCGAGCGUUGUUCGGAAUUACUGGGCGUAAAGCGUAUGUAGGCUGUUUUGUAAGACAGGUGUGAAAUCCCAGAGCUUAACUUUGGAACUGCAUUUGUGACUGCAAGACUUGAGUAUCGGAGAGGUUGGCGGAAUUCCUAGUGUAGAGGUGAAAUUCGCAGAUAUUAGGAGGAACACCGAUGGCGUAAGCAGCCAACUGGACGAUUACUGACGCUGAGAUACGAAAGCGUGGGGAGCAAACAGG